rnacentral:rRNA from 1 species
UACGGAGGAUCCAAGCGUUAUCCGGAUUUAUUGGGUUUAAAGGGUGCGUAGGCGGCUUUUUAAGUCAGGGGUGAAAGACGGUAGCUUAACUAUCGCAGUGCCUUUGAUACUGAUAGGCUUGAAUAUACUUGAGGUAGGCGGAAUGUGACAAGUAGCGGUGAAAUGCAUAGAUAUGUCACAGAACACCAAUUGCGAAGGCAGCUUACUAAAGUAUGAUUGACGCUGAGGCACGAAAGCGUGGGGAUCAAACAGG